CAGUCGCCGCGGGAAUACGUAGGUCCCGAGCGUUGUCCGGAUUUAUUGGGCGUAAAGCGAGCGCAGGCGGUUAGAUAAGUCUGAAGUUAAAGGCUGUGGCUUAACCAUAGUAUGCUUUGGAAACUGUUUAACUUGAGUGCAGAAGGGGAGAGUGGAAUUCCAUGUGUAGCGGUGAAAUGCGUAGAUAUAUGGAGGAACACCGGUGGCGAAAGCGGCUCUCUGGUCUGUAACUGACGCUGAGGCUCGAAAGCGUAGGGAGCAAACAGGAUUAGAUACCCCCGUAGUCCCUGUCUCUUAUACC
rnacentral:rRNA from 1 species